AAUGCACGUACUGUUGCACUGUGUUAGUGGGGGAACAGGAAGUUCCGGGCAGGCGCGCACCAGUCUUCAGUUUAAAGAAAGCGCCAGAACUGUGCAGUCAAGAAGAUAACCUUUGUGUCCGUUUCAAUUUACCACUACAGGUCUGAGGCCGGAAACAUAAACAGUGAGGACAAACCCAGCCUGCCACUCUCCUUCCACACUGAAUCCAAACCUACAGUCACUGGGUCCUGAUUGUGACAGUGGAGCCCAGUUUGCACUGCAGGAUCCAGAGAUGGCAUCAGUGAAGCUGGAAGACUGCAGUCAAACACUGGAGCUGAAUGUCAACAUUAAAGAUGAAGAAGAGGAGGAGAAGAUUGGGAAAUCUGUUUCUCAUGGAGACAAUGUUGAGACAUUCUCUACAUCCAGAGAGCAACAGCAGCAGGAAGAUCACAGAGCUGCUAAGAGGUCUCACCACUGCCCACAUUGUGAGGAGCUUUUCCCAAUUCUAUCAAAGCUAAAAAUACACUUGAAAAUACACACAGGAAGGAAUCUGUAUCCCUGCUCUGACUGUGGGAAGAGAUUCACAACAGCAGGGUCUUUGACAGUUCAUCGGAGAUUGCACACUGGAGAGAAGCCGUACUCCUGCUCUGACUGUGUAAAAUGCUUCACAACAUCUGCUCAUCUAGAAGUUCAUCAGAGAACACACACAGGAGAGAAGCCUUACUCCUGCUCUGACUGUGGAACGAGUUUCUCUCUACUGUGCAACUUAAAAACACAUGAACAUAUACAUACAGGAGUGAAGCCUUACUCCUGCUCUGACUGUGGAAAGAGUUUCUCUCUACUGUGCAACUUAAAAACACAUAAACGUAGACAUACAGGACUGAAACCAUACCCCUGCUCUGAAUGUGUAAAAUGCUUCACAACAUCAACUGAGCUAAAAGUACACCAGAGAACACACACAGGAGAGAAGCCUUACUCCUGCUUUGACUGUGGGGUGAGGUUCUCCCAACGGUGCACCUUAAAACAACAUGAACGUAUACACACGGGAGAGAAGCCUUACUCCUGCUCUGACUGUGGAAGGAUUUUCUCUCAACCGGGCCCCUUAAAAAGACAUGAACGUAUGCAUACCGGAGUACAGACUUAAUCCAGCUCUGACUGAUUACAAUGCUUCACAACAUCAGGUCAGCUAGAAGUUCAGUAGAGAACAGACACAGGAGAGAAUCCUUACUUCUGCUCUUAAUGUGACAAGAGUAACUCAAGUGAAAGUCACCAAGUAGAAUACUACUUGAGUAAAAGUUUUUGGUUGUAAAUAUACUUAAGUAUUAAAACUAAAAGUAUGAAUCAUUUCAAUUUUCUUAAAUUAACCUCUACGGGUUGGGUGUCCCUAAAACUGUGACUAUAAUGACGUUACAACGUAUACAACAGACAGUUUUUCGGGGACAUAGACAUGUCUUUUAUAUGGGCAGAAAGCUUAAAUUCUUGUUAAUCUACUGCAUUGUCCAAUUAACAGUAGCUAUUAGUGAAAAAAAUAGCAGGCUAUUGUUUGAGGAGAGUUUGAUACAAUCACCUCUGAAGGUAAAUAGUGUACUUACAUUCAGUAAUGUUGCUCUGAUUUGUCAUCUAGAGGGUCCUAGAGAUAAAAUGUAGCAUUGUUUAGUUUGAUAAAAUUAGUAUAUGUUCAAAUGUAGGUACCGGGUUCUACAUUUUGAACCCCUGCUGUCUCUUUGCGUCAGGCGCUGAGCUACAGGCAGCUAGAUUUGGGUAUGUCAUUUUAGGUGAAAAUGUAAAAACAAAAACCUUUUUAAGGUAAGAUCCUUAAAAGGUUUUUAGGUGAACCAAAUAAUACAAUUGUUUUUUAAAUUACGGAUAGCCAGGGGCACACUCCAACACUAUUUACAAAUGGACCAUUAAUGUUUAGUGAGUGCGCCAGAUAAGAGGCAAGUAGGGAUGACCAGGGAUGUUAUCUUGAUGAGUGUGGGAAUUGGACCAUUUUCUGUCCUGGUAAUCAUAAAAUGUAACUAGUAUUUUUGGGUGUCUGGGAAAAUAUAUGGAUUAAAAAGUACAUUUUAUUUAGGAAUUUAGUUAAAUAAAAGUAAACAUUGGCAAAAAAAUAUAAAUGGUAAAGUACAGAUACCCCAAAAACUAGGUAAAAAUUAUUUAAAGAACUACUUUACAUAUAGUGGAGUGGUAACGCGCGUGCAACCUGUUGUUCCCGACACUACUUGGGUACACUGCAGCAUCCACCGAGAGGCUCUUGCUGCCAAGGGAACUAUAUCAAAUCAAAUGUUAUUUGUCACAUACACAUGGUUAGCAGAUAUUAAUGCGAGUGUAGCGAAAUGAUUGUGCUUCUAGUUCUGACAAUGCAGUAAUAACCAACAAGUAGUCUAACCUAACAAUUUCACAACUACCUCAUACACAAGUGUAAAGGGAUGAAGAAUAUGUACAUAAAAAUAUAUGAAUGAGUGAUGAUACAGAACAACAUAGGCGAGAUGCAGUAGAUGGUAUAGAGUACAGUAUAUACAUACAGUGGGGAGAACAAGUAUUUGAUACACUACCGAUUUUGCAGAUUUUCCUACUUACAAAGCAUGUAGAGAUCUGUCAUUUUUAUCAUGGGAGAAGGUCUGUAUGGAGGAGUGCGCCAAAAUCCCAGCUGCAGUGUGUGCAAACCUGGUCAAGAACUACAGGAAACGUAUGAUCUCUGUAAUUGCAAACAAAGGUUUCUAUAACAAAUAUUAAGUUCUGCUUUUCUGAUGUAUCAAAUACUUAUGUCAUGCAAUAAAAUGCUAAUUAAUUACUUAAAAAUCAUACAAUGCAUUAAGCUAAGUGCAGGGACAAAGCAAGCCUAUAGAAUAGAGGAAUGUAUAUUAUUUUUAGGACAAAGCAAGGGUCUUGCCACCAUUAUAAUCUGGCGAAAAGCAGAUAUGGGCGUUAUUGGGCGUGAACAAGCAGGAAGCCUGAACUAAAAAGAUAAUGGUAGGCAGAAGAAUUAGGGGAAGUAUGUUUAUCUGCAUAUGGGUUGGACCCAUAUGCUAUAUGUGUAUAAAAACAGGAGCCGGGGCUCUGGGAAGCGGUGUGUGUUCCGCGGACCACUCCGCCUUGCUAUACUUUGUAUUAAAAGCCUAUUUGAUU